rnacentral:rRNA from 1 species
UACGGAGGGUGCGAGCGUUGUCCGGAAUCAUUGGGCGUAAAGGGCGCGUAGGUGGCCCGGUCAGUCUUUGGUGAAAGCGCGGGGCUCAACCCUGCGUCGGCCAGGGAUACUGCCGCGGCUCGAGCACUGUAGAGGCAGGCGGAAUUCCGGGUGUAGCGGUGGAAUGCGUAGAGAUCCGGAAGAACACCGGUGGCGAAGGCGGCCUGCUGGGACAGUGCUGACGCUGAGGCGCGACAGCGUGGGGAGCAAACAGG